rnacentral:rRNA from 1 species
UACAGAGGUCUCAAGCGUUGUUCGGAUUCAUUGGGCGUAAAGGGUGCGUAGGCGGCGCGGUAAGUCGGGUGUGAAAUCUCGGAGCUUAACUCCGAAACUGCAUUCGAUACUGCCGUGCUUGAGGACUGGAGAGGAGACUGGAAUUUACGGUGUAGCGGUGAAAUGCGUAGAUAUCGUAAGGAAGACCAGUGGCGAAGGCGGGUCUCGUGGACAGUCCUGACGCUGAGGCACGGAAGGCCAGGGGAGCAAACGGG